GGAGGAUCAACUUUGGUGCUGAUACUAUCAUUCAUGAUUUUGUAUUUGAUGAACUCGACGAAGUCCUCCAUUAUUAAGAUUUUGAACUCUACGCCAUAGAUCGCCUCCGAGUCCUGCAGGGUAUUUCAGAUGGUUUG